UGUCUUGUAAUUGGAAUGAUGGUGACUUAAACCCUCACCAGAGUACCAAUUGGAGGGCAAGUCUGGUGCCAGCAGCCGCGGUAAUUCCAGCUCCAAUAGCGUAUAUUAAACUUGUUGCAGUUAAAAAGCUCGUAGUUGAAUUUCAGCGUUUCGCGUGUGCCUCUUUUGGCCCAUCUCGUCUCGCUUUUUUUAUUACUUUGAGAAAAUUAGAGUGUUUCAAGCAGGCUUUUGUCUUGAAUACUUGAGCAUGGAAUAAUAGAGUAGGACCUUGGUUCUAUUUUGUUGGUUUUGUUACCUUGGUAAUGGUUAAUAGGAACGGUUGGGGGCAUUC
rnacentral:rRNA from 1 species